UCCAUAAUCACUGCUAUCAUGAAGAACAGUAAGACCAAACCCAGGAAGAAAUCUCACAUUGUUGUUCUUGGACACAGUUCUACCAAUUGGUUGAAGAUGGAACGAACAA